rnacentral:rRNA from 1 species
UACGAAGGGGGCUAGCGUUGCUCGGAAUCACUGGGCGUAAAGGGUGCGUAGGCGGGUCUUUAAGUCAGGGGUGAAAUCCUGGAGCUCAACUCCAGAACUGCCUUUGAUACUGAAGAUCUUGAGUUCGGGAGAGGUGAGUGGAACUGCGAGUGUAGAGGUGAAAUUCGUAGAUAUUCGGAAGAACACCAGUGGCGAAGGCGACACACUGGGCCAUUACUGACGCUGAGGCGCGAAAGCGUGGGGAGCAAACAGG